CCCAAGGGUUAUGGUGUCAUAAAAAUCCCUUAUGCCGUCUUUCUAUUUCCUUAUUGGUGUAAGACUCUUGGGGUCCAAGAGUUGGAUGCCUCAAGAGACUUUCAUGUGAAGAAGUGAGUGCCACUUGAGAGUUGUGCAUUUUGUGGACUCCAUCUUACAUGAAAAAGUGACCACACCUCAUAUGGAUGAGCACGACACAUCUCACGCCCUAUCUUCUUCUCUCUGGGACAACCAAGUAGUUGGACGUCCUAAGAUCUCACCCUCUCUCUUGUAUGUCUAAGAAGUUGGACGUCCCAACCUUAGUGUUUUGGCAUCAAAAGGUGAAAAGAGUUUCACGCGACCCUUCAAGCCUUGAAAAUUCUUGCAUUAAAGAGUUUGAUGUCAAGAAAUCAGAUCUAAACCCCAAAAAAAGUUCUUGGUAAUGCCAAAAGAAAAGAGAGAGAUGGACUAUCGGAUUUUCUUUAGAAGAAAAUCAAAAAAAGAUCAAGAAAGAUUCCUGAUCCAUUCGCGUAUGGAGCGUGAUCUGUAAAGAAAAAAAGCUAAAAUCCUUGAGAA
rnacentral:lncRNA from 1 species